GAUGAACGCUAGCGGCAGGCCUAAUACAUGCAAGUCGGACGGGAUUCAGGAGCUUGCUUCUGAUGAGAGUGGCGCACGGGUGCGUAACACGUAUGUAACCUACCUUUAUCAGGGGGAUAGCCUCUCGAAAGAGAGAUUAAGCCCGCAUAAAAUCACAGCACAGCAUUGUGUAAUGAUCAAAUAUUUAUAGGAUAAAGAUGGGCAUGCGGAACAUUAGCUAGAUGGCGGGGUAACGGCCCACCAUGGCGACGAUGUUUAGGGGAUCUGAGAGGAUGGCCCCCCACACUGGUACUGAGACACGGACCAGACUCCUACGGGAGGCAGUAGUAAGGAAUAUUGGUCAAUGGGCGGAAGCCUGAACCAGCCAUGCCGCGUGCAGGAAGACGGCCCUACGGGUUGUAAACUGCUUUUAUACGGGAAUAAACCCAGAUACGUGUAUCUGGCUGAAUGUACUGUAAGAAUAAGGAUCGGCUAACUCCGUG
rnacentral:rRNA from 1 species